UAAUAGCUGCCAAACCCCAACCUCCAUAAAAUCCACGACCCCUAGAAAAAGCAGAGACCUGUUACGGGUAUCUGUAACAGCUGUUACGGUUCGUAACAGGGCCUAACGUGAACAUUUUCAAAAAAAAAUUAAAACCAUCUCCCCUACUCAUCAUUCUACCACCUAUCUCACACCCAAUCAGUUCCAUUUAAUAUCCAUUAAAUAAACUAAAAUUUAUUCUUAACCACAUCUCAU
rnacentral:lncRNA from 1 species